rnacentral:lncRNA from 1 species
UCAGCUGCGCGCCUACUGGCAUAACGUGCGCCAUCCAUCUCCUCAUAUCCUGCACUUCGCGAACCCACCGGAAAAAUCGAAUAAUACUCAUAAUCGCAAAUUGCAAACUCAACCCCCUCCCCCCUUCCUCCUCGACAAAUACUCAAUUUUGCAGCAGGAAAAAAUAGUUAAGUUGAAAAUGUCGUCCAAUUCGAGAACCCUUAAGGGCGAGUCGGAUUGAUUUUGAAUAAAGUCGUUUGUGAUCGAGCUUGAUCGUAUCCCCCGGUCUCGGGAUCGAGAGUGAGAUCGUCUGUGUGUUUGUGUAAUGGUGACGGAGCUUUACAGUUUUGCAUCUCGUUCAUCGGAGAAAAGAAGAAGCCGAUUAGACGAUAUUGGAUCGUAGUGUGAAGCGGAGUUCGGAGGCGGUUUGAAGCGGCCAAUUUUCCUCCCCAUUAUUCAAUGGGUUGAAAGCAAUUGUGGAUCCAAAGCCUGGUGGAACUGGCAGAGGAAUCAAAUUUAAAAUUCAAUCUACGUUUUUCUCAAGUUCUGAGCCCAGCCGAUACUCGAACGGAGAACAAUGCUGAAGGUAGUAGGAGCUUCCUGGAAUCAAAUUCGGCUGAGCUGGUGGCUGCUGGUUGGUGUGGCAAUAUUAGGACUUAUCACCGUAUAUUGCGGAGGACGCCCGAGUGCGGUAGCAGAUCGUAACUACGCUGCAACCGUGUCUUGGAAUCUUGGCACUGGUUACAGAUGCGAGUAUUUUGGACAGAAUAACGCACCGGAUUCGAUCAAAAAGGCGUUGCCAGGGCAUACUAUCAAUCCAAAAUGGUCUCGACUGGGUGAGUUUUCUUCAUUUUUAUUGACAAUUGCUAAACGCAAAGAAAAUAAUGAACAAAUGAUAGACCAUUAAUUCAACGUGAUCUAUUUCGCGUCUGUUGAAACUGAUCCAUGUUUAUGCAGAUGAUAUUUC